CGCGGGGUAGAGCAGCCCGGUAGCUCGCCUGGCUCAUAACCAGGAGGUCCGCGGUUCAAAUCCGCGCCCCGCAACCA
rnacentral:tRNA from 1 species